rnacentral:lncRNA from 10 species
CUGGGAACUUCCAAUAUAUAAAAAUUGUGCAUUGUAAGUUUUCUAGCAUAUGACACAGUUUCUAGCUUGCUAAAAUUAUUUUGCAGUGGAAUCUCUGUUUUUUAGAAAACAUAUUUAACAAUGCAUACUUUAGGAAGACUGAACUAGAGAGUAAGUUAAAUCCACUUCUGAAAUAUUAGUAUUACUCGUCUUUAACUUUUUUUGGAGUUUUCACUAGUAGCAAUGCUUUUACUAAGCAUAGCAUAGCUAAAGCCAUCUUUUCUGUCUCCUUAGGUCACACUGUUACUUCAUUUACUACUAAUAACACUAACCAGCACUGAGGUAUUGUUGAUUCAAAACUGAAGAAAUUAACUGAUGAUUCACUCUUUAGGUAACAGAACCUACCUGUACAAAUAGCUUUACUGGAUGGUGUGAUGGCUCCAUGAAAUAGUAUCCUGCAGCCAAGACCAUCCUCAAGGAGGUUAAUGAAUGUGGCACCACAGGAAAAAUAUGCAUCAACAUUGAAAAGGAAGUGGUGCGGUUGAAGAGAAGCGGCUUCUCUGCAGCAGAAGCACAUUCAUCCUGAUUCCAGACUGUGGACAGCUCCUCCGUGGAGGAAUAGCUGAUGACCGCAUAGUUCCUCUUUCCCACCCCCAUUCCCCAUUGCCUUGCUCCAUUCAUAGCAAUCUGAGCUCUGAAUGUGGGCUGAGAUGUCUGACAUUCUGCAGCAGGAGUC